rnacentral:rRNA from 1 species
GAGGUUUAGCAAAUCUCUUAAAGCCGUUCUCAGUUCGGAUUGUAGGCUGCAACUCGCCUACAUGAAGUCGGAAUCGCUAGUAAUCGCGGAUCAGCAUGCCGCGGUGAAUACGUUCCCGGGCCUUGUACACACCGCCCGUCAAACCAUGAGAGUUGGCAACACCCGAAGUCGGUAGUCUAACCGCAAGGAGGACGCCGCCGAAGGUGGGGUUGAUGAUUAGGGUUAAGUCGUAACAAGGUAUC